ensembl:lncRNA sodium channel subunit beta-2-like
CUCAGUCACACCCGAUAGGUUUUGCGGUGCGUGAGCGGGAUGAUGAUGUAGGCGCGUCUUAACGACACAAACUUCAUUCUUUUCACUUCACUUUCCUCAAGCGAUCUGAUACGCGUGCUUCUUCUGCAGCGGAAUAUAGACCAAAGGUCAGCAGUAUAUUGUGCUUUUAGUUUUUAUUGUAUUUGUUUACCGAACAAAUUUUAAUCCAUUGUUUGUUGAUAUUGAUACUGUUUUUUUUUUUAAUCAUGUCAUGCUUUCAGAGUAAUACGUUUAAUUAAAAAUGAAUGAAAUUACUUUAGCUUCGACUGUUUCGCGGAGCUCUUGUUUUCAAUUAUAGGCUAGGCUACAGGACAUUCCAUAGUCAUGAUCAGAUGACUAAAUCUUUGGGAAAAAACUAUUUUCUCUUUUAUUUUUUUUUCAUGUGACCGGGGGGAAAUAGGCCGUCUUCUAAUACAUUUCACCGAUGCAUUGAGAUGCUAGGACAUCGGUUUCUUCUUUUUUAACGAAUGAUAUCGUGUGUCUUACCAGGACAAAGCGCAGAUGUUUGUAUUACUUUGUAUGUAUUACUCGCAUGAAACUAUGCACCUUUAGCCUAGUUUGUAGCCUAUUGGUUUGCUUGAGAACGUGGGAUUUUCCAGCAUGCUUCAAAACCUGCUUCUCUCUCCUCCAGAACAAACAUGAAGCCCUUGGCAUUGCUGGCACUUCUGCUCAUCAUGAGUGGUUCUGCAGUGGGACAAACGUUGAAAUCUAAUGCGACCGGCUUUGUUGGAAAGGAUGUACUUUUAUCAUUUAACUGUUUUAAUGUCCCUAAAGAGCUGAUAUGGCAGAAAGGUGAUAGAGUAGUGAAUGCUCAUUCGCAAGACAAAAUCAACAUAGAUGAUUCCUACCUGGACAGGACGCAACUCUUCCUAAACGAGGAGAAGAGAAACUGUUCCCUGCUGCUCCGCAACAUCUCUACAGCAGAUGCAGGACUGUACACCUGUCAUGCCCUAGACAGUGUUGAUAACAACAUAUGGUCAAAGGAGUCUACAGAAGUUAAUUUAACAGUGGAGAGCAACCCUGAAAAAGGCGGCCAAACUAAAGAAGAAUCUGUCACAGCUGUCUCUGUUAGUGUUCCCAUAGCGGUAGUAGUGCUUAUACUGGCUGUUAUCCUGCUUCUAAUCCUACUGAACAGAAGACAACAUCGGACAAACACGGACACCGAUGAUUUACCGACUGAGGAACCUAUGCUACAGAAUGUGUGAAGUGCUCUUGCUUGACAGUUUAAUGGACUAACUUCUAUGUUGUAAUGCAAGGUCCUUCACAACAACAAUGGACAAUAAGAGGCCUUAGCCCUAAACAAAUGCGUUCACAUGUGGGCAUUACACAGCGGUGCGUGCCGAUCCGUCUCGCUGCAAGACAGAUUAAUGUGCAGUCUUCAGUUGUAACACUGUUACUUGAUUACCACUGAAUUGUGAAUACACUGUGAAUAUACAUUCAGUAGGCAUUACAGUUUUGUAAUUGGACAAGAUUCUCCUUGUAGGAACUGUCUUUAUUCAUUCUUUGAAGAACAGAUGUAAUAGGUAGGGGACGUGCAGUUUAUAUUUUGGUUUUUCCUCUCUCUUUGAGGCACACUGGUGGUCUCAAUCCUAAACAAGCUUUCCAAAUCAGUUUAUUUUAUUGUUCAUAUGUGUACAGCAAUCAUUUACUAAGCACUCAUCAUGUAAGCUUCUUUACAUUUACUCUUGUAUGGGUUGUUUUACUCAGCCUAUGCUGAUUUCAUUUAUGUGGAAGAAAUAAUAUGGCACUCCCUAUGGGAUAUGUUUGCUUUUUUUUACUGUACUAAAUUUCAUUUACUUUUAAAUGAAUUCUGUAAAGUACUUCAAACCUGCUGAGGCAAUAAACCUUUUACUUAUACAGUUUUUCUUUGUA